AUAUAGCUAUAUAUAUAAGGGCAUGCAGUACAACAGAUGUGCAGCUGCAGCUGCAUAGCAACAAAAAUUUUUUUUUUAUUUGCAAAGAAGAAAAGAAGUUGAGUGUAGACAUGGUUUGAGAGCUGUUUGACAAAACUGUGGAACUAGAAAGGACAAGCAAGUAAAAGGUUGAAUGGGGCUCAACAAAGUGGAGACCAAUUGAAGCCUAUAUUGCCCAAGUUUCAUAGCACAAUAAGAUGAUGUUGAAAGUGACACGUGUUGGAGAGAGCAUUAUACUGGACACCCUUGUAUGACCAGACCACUGUAAAGUAUCGACACAAUUGGAGGUGAUGCUGAGAAGUCAAAGGCAGUAUCUUACAAUUGCAGUGAACUGAGUGCAGACUUGCUAUUAUGUUUAAAAAACCUUUUUUUGUAUAUCCUCAUCAAUACUGUAUUGAUGUAUUGUUGUUUUUAUUGUUGUUGAA